GGGGGAGAACAAAAGCAACCAAUCAACAGAACUGAACACUGACUCAGCUGACCCAAGGACCCAACAUAGACAUAUAUGUACAGAGGGAAGUAUGCCUUAGGCAAGAAGAGAGACAAUGCUUAGUUACACAGUAGAAUUCCAACUCUGUCAACAUUUAAGGAGUGUCUGUGACUAGGAAGGAAGGAAGGAAGGAAGCUAGCCACCAAUAGGGAUAUGCACAGAAUCGGGUGGAAGAAGUCCGAAGCACAUGCACCAGGUCAAAGAACCACACAGACAGCAAGCCCAGCUGUUGGGUGGGCUGAGAAAGUGUGUGAAAGCUGCCGUGUAAAGAAGAGAUAUAUGCGUGCAAAUAAAAUAUUGAUGAAUGAAGUCCCUGAGAGCUGAGACGAAAGCCAAGCGAAGCAGUCAGGAGGAUGCCAGACCACCUGGAAACCCCCAGAGGACACCCCGGACGAUGUGCCACCCCCCACCCACAAAUUGAGACCGGGUUCCCCCGCUCUUCUGGCUUGGACUCUAUCCUGGACUCUGUCCAGAUUCACAUACGCAUGGAACCGAAGGAGGACUUGCAUACAUUGGCGAUGCUUUGCAGCUCGCGACUAACUCAGAUGGACACUUAUUUUCUUAUGGCUGUCUUGACCUGCAUGUAUGUAUGUACGUAUGUAUGUAACCUCCUGCUUCGGGAACGUGAUCUAUAGCAUAUCUGCAUGCUAAAUGAACCAUGCCAGCACAGCGGCUGACCAUGCCAGGAACUCCUGCUGACAACACCCCUGAAGGACCCCCUGGGCCUGGAGAAGACCCUCCGCCGUCAAGGACCCACGCCCAGAGGCUGCAAUUGGCAGAAGAAGACUGGCACGGCCCUGCCGGCCACACGCAAGGUGAGGCUGGGAUUCGUCCCUCCCUUGGACCUUUUGGACAUUCCUCUCACUGAACUCUUUUAACCGGACUCUACCCAAACCCAUAGGGACUUGCGUACAGUGCUAUAUUCUCUCUACCUUUGCAACCACACAUUCGUUAGUACGCGGCUGUGUUUUAUCGCGAAACUCUAUUCACUAUUGCUUUUGUAAACCAUAUGUUAAACAUUCUCUAAUAAAUGUCAUCCUCCUCUUAGUAUCUUCUCCGAGGCAGUAGCCUUCCAAGUAUCUUAUGGCAAUGAAUUCCAUCAUAGUGCAUGCAGAAGGUAAUGAAGUGGCCUGUCCCGAAAGACAAAUGUGCAGAUUUCAUUGUCGGACAAACUCUCCAGAGCUCCAUAAGCCAAGUGGAGCACAUAUGAGGCUCUGGACUGGAGCUCCGGGGCUGAAGAACCUUGUAUUUCCUCUCUGUUUACAGGACACAGUGCAAUCCGAAAGGCAUUCUAUUGGAUUCAUGCAAGGUGUUCAGAACUCUCACCGUAAUAUCACAACUGGCUAUAAUUUGGUGCAGUCAAUCACAUCAUACACAUCGGAUGGUUCCGAGAAAUUACUUGCAAAAUAAGAUGGGAGUUGUAAAGUAAGCUGUAGGAAAAAAAUGGUUUUUCAUACUGUAGAGCUUGGCGAAUUUAUAUAAUCACUUAAAAACUAAGGAAGCUUGGCCUUUCCUUGCAUUUUCCCUUCCCCCUCCCUUUGUCGUUAUUAUUGCCUCAUUAUACAGUCAUUUGUACAAUGUUUUGGCAGACAUUCACUGUUGCAUAAAUUAAAGUCACUGAAUCUAGUUUUUGCCUACAGGUCUUUGAUGAAAAUACCAGGAACAUUUUUAUUUGAAUGUCAAAGUUUGUCAACCAUUAAACUGAUUGAUUUUUCAUUAUACA